GCCUGAGUGGCUCAGUAAGUUAAGCGUCUGACUUUGGCUCAGGUCAUGAUCUCAUGGUUCGUGAGUUCGAGCCCCACAUCGGGCU
rnacentral:tRNA from 1 species